ensembl:lncRNA
GGUGAAAGGAAACAAAAUCUGGUUGAACAUUAACCCCAAUUUUCUUUUCCAAAAGUCUUAGUUGGGAAGAUCUGUUUGUAACACUGUACUUAGAGAUACUGCUGAAGGUCUCCAUACCAGAUGGGCACAUAACAGCCGCGGGCACAGCCUGCCAUGCUUCUCACUCCCAUGGCAGUCUCCAUCCUGCACUGCAGCAGCUAUGGAGUAAUGCAAGCAGAACACACCAAGAGGUAAGAGACAGACAAAGACUACAUCUAAAUUUAGAGGAAGUUACAUCCAGAGGCAAAUUAAAUUAGGAAGUGUAAGACUAUGAGGGUGGGUUCUCAGCACAGGAGGAGAUGAAUGAAUGCGUUAUUUGUAGCUUCCCGAAAGUCACGGAGCUCGCAGCUGUUCAACACUGCAGCAGUUGUUCAGCAUGAACUAACAUCUAGCAGAUGAUCUAUGGAGCAAUGAUGUGAGCAAUGCUGCAAAACCAGCAUCUUGUUAUGAUCAAAACUGAAGAGUUUGCAUGGGAGCCUUGAAUGUUGACUGCUUUGGAAAUUUUUUUGAGCUCAGCUUGAAGGCCUGAGGUUGAUACGCUGCUUUUCUUUCUGGAGAAGGGAGCACUAAUAGUUUGUACGGGAUGAUUUUCUUUGGCCACAACAACUUGAGCAAAAAAAAAAAAAGCCCUAAAUAUUAUUUACUUCCACCUUCAUCCAGCGCAGCAAGAAUGCUGCACUUAAUUUUACGUUUCCAGUCUUAAGAUCUGCAGACAAAAUUUAACCCCUUUGCAGACUUUGUUGCAUUGUAAAAUAAAUUAGUAAAACUUAUGGAAAUCAUGAACUGAAGGUACUCAAACACUGAGCUACGUGUUGGGGAGAGGGGUUGAUCACUGUGUUUUUGGUACUGUUUUUUUUCCACGUGUUUUCUAACAUAGUGCUGUUUUCCCACUCCACUGUUUCAUCUGCCCAAUGACUGCAGAAUCUCUAAGCUAGGAACUUGCAUCUUUCUUACUUUUUCCGAUAUUGCCAAUCACAACAAUACUAUCUGUUGUCCACAAACAAAGUAUCUGAGUUUUGCUGAUGGUAUUGCAUUUGAGGUCGGAAACUGUGGGAACUUAAAUUUACUUUUACAAGUGGAAGAAAAGAGUUGUUCUCACAUUUCUUUCUUCUAGGCUUUGGAAAUUUAUUCCAUCUGUUGUGUUGUGUUUUGGCUGAAGAACAGUCCAAGUCCUAUCACUCAUAGUUACGGGAUUGUGCGCUCUUACGACUCCUGCAACUAAUAGCAGGUUACAACAGUAGGAAUCCUUUCCUGGCCACUUCCCAGUGCUUGCAGCCUUUCCUAGGGACUGCAGCGAUAUGCAGAGCUGCCCUGGCCCGACAGCCUGCUGGCUUGUCUCUGGCAGCAGGACACAGCACAUGUCUACAGGAAGGGAUAACAACAUGGCAGAUGCAUGGUGUGGUCUUCGGUCUUUUGUGGUUCAAUGACUUCCUGCGCCAGAAUCUCUUUCUAUGAGGCUACAUGCUAUCAAUAUAUCCUAGUGGAUUAAACAGUUCUUACAAUCCAUGUUUGAACCCAGCACUUAGGGACCUCUCCCAUGAACACCUCACCUUCAUAGCAGACAUUACAUUAGGGAUCCUGUUGGUGACUCAGCAGCGUCUCAUGCCAAUGAACUAAGUAACAGCAAUGAAUUCAAAGCCAGUUCUAAUGCACCAAAGAAAGAGAAUGGCAGACGUUUGGAUGAGGAGUAAUAGCACUGGACUCAGGCAAAUUUUGUUUGUCUACCCAACAUCACAGCAACGGACUGUCAAGCAUCCAGUGCACAAACCAUGUGAUUAACCUGGACAGCUAGGCAAAGUGAAAAUGGGUAUUUAUGCAGCACUGGAGGACCUGUGCUGCAUACUGAGCUGCCGCUAUGUCUGUCAACACUCUCCUUUCCCAAGCCUUUCUGUCUCCAUGUUAAUUAUGUCUUUCAGCACUUCCUAAAGCUUUAGUGUAUUUUUCUUGUGUUCCUCCUCCAAUCUCCCUCUCGUCCCAUGACUCCCAUCCUGCCUACUUACUGUUCAUCUCUCAGCUGUUUCUGCAACACUGUCACAUGGCUGGGCUGAGUCAGGCAACCUGGGCCUAAGGACAAACCUGAGAGGAAAACUCGUCUUUCCAAACAUCAAAUUUUCUUCAUAAUCAGAAAAUCAGCAGUCCAUACCGAUGAUCCAAAAGGCAUUACAUAAAUAUUAUAUUACACUUUCUUCUUCCUGCUAGCAUCAUCAGAAUUUUUGCUAUAAUUGGUAAGUUUAGGCAAGACUUAAUGACCAGUAUAUUCCUAACAAAGUAUAUGAAGCAUCUCCCUGAAUUUGAGUAAUUUAAGGCAGUUCACACUAUCAAGAUUCACAGCACUAAAUCAAUCUCAUCUCCAUGUGCGAUAUUUUAUGCCUGCAGGUAUCUGUAUUUCUGAAUACAAAAUGCAUUUCUGUAUGCAAACAGAUCAGGUUUAUCUGAACAGCUUGCUGCCCUUUGUCUAUCCAAAAUGUCCUUUUCAGGUGCAAUGAUGCAUUCAGAAGCUCGACUGAGUAGCACUAAAAUUUCGUGAAAAUCUAUUUAGUGUGCAUUCGUAACGGAGCAGAUUUCUCCUCAGAUCCACUACCAACUAUUUGUCAAAUGGCUAUCCUAAGGAAAACAAACUAACAUGAUCCCAGAUCGAGACUUUUUUGCAACCAGAAUGAAUUUCACAUAAACUUUUGCCUGUCACUACUUAAUCACCAUUUAUUCACAGUAACUAUGCAUCGCUAUCUUAUGGCUGCUGUCCUUUCCUACAGAGAUGGGGGGUUCAGGACAUUAGUUCAUCUGUAGAUUCUAAGAAGUUAUCUCUCCCCCAGAAUAUGCAAUGUGUAGAAAAGCCCUACGGAGCUGUUCCUCCUUUAGUGUCCACCAGGCUCCCCACAGUAUCCAGGAACAAUUAUGGAAAUAAUCAUUGUUCUAAGCGAAGGACUACACGAUGAUGCGUAAAGUUUAAUAACAAAAGCUUCCCCUGCUCCAUCCGUCUUGCUGUCAGCUAGACUGUGGCAGGAAGCACAAGGGGUUAAUGUCAAAAUACAUCCCCUGAUACCCCGAUUGCCUUUCCCUACCCAUUGUUUCCCAACUUCUUUUGAAUGGUCAGAAAUUUUCCGCUUGAGUAAACCAUCAACAGAGCUGGACCAAAUGGAAAAAUGAGUAGGACAAAAAUGAACCUUGCUGGUAAUACAGAAAGGAGACCUGGUUGACAGAGCCACGCAUUUCUAGUGCUAGCAUUUAUUGUGAAAAUAGUGUAAUUAAACAAUGAUUUUUUUUCCCUCUUGCGGCAAAAAAUUGUUUGAGGAUAUCAACAUUUUGUAGAGUGCCAUAAAUCUGGUAAAUCUAGCUAUGGAUAACUCAAUACUCAGAAUGGAAAAGGAAUUAACCCAACUCUUUGGAAAGCUUUAAGAAAAAAGCUUUUCAAAAUAGAGCAUCACUGUGUUUUCCUCACACUGCUCCCAUCAGCUUUCCUUCAGCCUGAUGCUUGAUUUCAGAAGUAGCCUCUCUCACCAAUACAUGAGGGCUUCCCGUUCUUCCCUUCCGUUCUGAUCACACUUAGUAUUCUCAUAUUAGUGUGGGUAGCAAAAAAAAUACAUUCUCACAAAAAACAAGAGUAGUGCAUUUCAGUUAUGGUUUUCUAUUGAUUCAGUUACACUUGAAUUGAUCUCAAAUUGUUUCAAGCAACUGUUCUGCACCCAAAACACCGCACGAACCACAGAAACCAGAUCAAUAGAUUUCAAGUGAAAUAAUUGUUUUCCUUUGUAAGACCCCAUUACUUCUUGAAUGAAGAACUGUUUGAUUGACCUCCAGGAAAGCAGCAGAUGUGAAUAAGCCAAGCACCUCAGGCCUUAUCAUUUAAAGGGAGGCCUUGAAAAUUACAGGAAAGUACAUGGCCAUGUGCUCGGGUAGCUGUGGGAAAUACACAGCUGGAGAAGCCACAAAGCUGCAUUCUACACGAACAAAAUGAGAGCAGUAGCACGUGGCAGAAGUGGCAGAAAUACACUUUUAGUCACCACAAACACACCAAAAAAAUGUUCUACUAGAUAAGAAAAAUGUUCAAGGAUUCUUGAGCGACUGAUUUUAUUUGCACAGUGUUAGCGUUAGUGAGCUUAUUGUCUGGCACUGAUAAAUGUCAUGUAGCUGUGCCCCUGGGCUCACGUCUGUCCCAGUGUGUUCCACAACUGUAGUGCUCUGUGAGCGCGGCCCUUUCCAGGCUGACACAUUCAGACACACAAGGUAGAGGCAGUAGCCAAGAAAAUCAGGGUGACCUCAUUGGAUCUACCGGCAGGAUGCAGAUUUAUACCAGGUCACCAAUUCACUGGGGUGCCUAAGUGCUGUCAAACAGAGUAAGACAGACUCUUCUAGAGGCUGAGAGCAGGUUGAUGGGGCUACACUGACCCUAGCACAUGAAAUGCUAAUAGCAUCCCCAGGCCACACCUGCAGCAUCGCACUGGAGCCAUCCAGCUGCAGCCCUGCCUCUGUGUGCUCAGGACCUUCCCUCACCCACUUGCAACUGCACCUUUUGCAGGGAAAGGAGAGCCCAGAGAGCAUCCCCUGUCUACAGCUGUGGGCAAAAACAGGAAGGCUUCAAGAAGCCGUGCAGGAGUGAGACAAAGCAGUGCUGAAGGCAGCGGUGCCUGAGAUUAGGGCUGCGGUGUGGAAUGGAGCAGCUGGCCAGAAGGUUAGGACACCUAGAGAGCAUCACUACUGGAAGGUGAUGCUGCAGUAACAAACAUGACAGGCUGGACCUGUCAAUCUCAGCCCCAAAUACCACACUGUCAUCAUUAUAGAGGUUGAGAUGGCACAUGGCAGCAGCAAAGUUACUGCUUAGGUAAUGCAAAUGUGGGUGCUCCCCCAGCGGGUGGCAAUAUGAUGUUACAGAAAACACAUGUGCAGCUACUCAUAAAUUGCAGUUUUCAUCAGCAGUUCUACUUGUAGAUAAUUCCUGCCCUCAGUUGAUGCUUCCCCCACAAAAAAAGUAGGAAAGCAGAAUACAGUGGUGAUAUUUUGUGGUCCUCAGACAAAUGCUGCUCUCCCUAGUAACAGUCCUCCUGGUAUUGGAAAUCUUUAUUUCUUCUAAUUAUAUUGCAAAUAAAUUAAAUGAUUGCGUUAUACCAUAGUAUGUUUUUGUAGGGAAGUCUUGGUUAGCUCUUAGCACAUAUUAGACCUGAUCUGCGCUUUACUCUUUUAUGAGCACAAUUAACUGCAAACACCUUGUCAUAAACAUUUUAAAAGGUCAACAGAUUGCAACAAUUUUGCUAAAGAGAUAAAUGGUCAAAUAAAACAUUGAAUUGUUAAUUCCCAGGUGACAAAAAGCUGCAUGAGUCAGAUCAAUAAGAAGACACAGAGUGAAUUCUGGGAUAAAGGGCGGGUCAACCUUGAAGCGUUAAUAACUCGCUCCUGUUGUUCUGCUCUGGCACAUCAUGUGUUCUAGCAGGUAAAUGAGCUGCUAAUAGCAAAGUAGUGCCCACAGACUCACAGAAGUAAAAGUGGGCGUCAGAGAUUAUUGAAAUGGGAAAAAUAAAUUAAAAAAAAAAAAAAAAAAAAAAAGAAAGGACUUAGCUCUGUUAACACCAGGAAAAACAAUGAGUUUAUAGCAGACAGGUAAGAGCACAAUCUUCCUACUAUUUCUAAUCUAACGUGUUAGUCAACUGCUGGGUAGGGCGUAUGCUUUCUCUUUCUCUCUUUCCAGAUUUUCUCCUUUCAACCUUAAUCUUAAUGCUGGGCUUUUAUUAAACAGUGUCUGUUGAAAACAUACUGCUUUACUUAAGAGAAUUUUAGGAAAUGGUUGUAUUAGGCAACAAAUGAGUGUGCUGACAUGAUGUUCAGGUGGUCUGUACUGUCAGAGAUGUUGUUACGGAAUUAGAACGAUGUGUAUCAGCUUAAAAUCUGCCCCACAGAAUACACCAGUGUUUGUGGAAGGUCAGACAGAGAAAUUAGCAUCCUUGACAGAUAUAUGCUCAUCUAAGAGGCAGAUUCCUUUUGGUGUUUCUAUAGCAGAUGACGCUGCCACCCUUGUGCUCAGCAUUCCUGUCAGCUGGAAACAGUAUUUUAUAAGUUAGUCCUCCUUUUUCUGGGGAACUCAUGCCUUCCUGUCACUUAACUGGCCAUUCAAAUCAAAAUGCAAGUUGGAAAUUGAGAAUGUGCCACUGACAAUUGAAAUGUGAAAAUUUGGAUAAGAGCAUCAUCAGGUCAGAGUACUGGGCAUGAAGGAGGGACUUACAGAAUCCUGCAGGUGACUCUCUGUUUUCUGUAACUCACCCCACGCGAUAUGAUAUUAACUGGAUUACAGUAAAAGUCCUACAAAACAGAUUUUGCUGUUAAAACUCCCCCCCAUCCCAUUUUGUAACUACCUUUAGAUGAGAUGACUGUUUGCUUUUUUUUCAAAUUGUUAAAAUUUCCCUUCUGUCUUAUUCAUAAAAUUCCUACAUAGAGCAGCUAAAUGCCAAAUAUGUCACUUGGAACUGUUUAUUGAAUGACUGUGGCCAGAAGCUGGCUCUUAUUCACCCGUGAGGUAGAAUGGGCUCCUAUUUAUACUUUAUUCUUGGGAACAAAGUGAGGAGAAUCUGAGGCCAUUGGAAAGAGACCACCUGAAGAACUCUUCCCUAAAGCAGCUCUAUUUUUUCAGACCUUUACAGGGAAGAAUACAAAAUUUGCAGCCUACGUGCCAAGAAAAUCGGCUUACCAUUAUUUAAUUAAGGAUAUCUUGGAAUAAAAGACAGACUUUUCAAAGAAGACUAUGAAACUUACAGAACUAAAAAUGAAAAAAACAUGUAAAGUCCAUCAGGAAUCGGUAGCUUCUCAUACUUAAAGAAAAAUAUCUACCACCAUUAUGGGAAGGUCUGAGGAACUCAAAACAAAGCAAAGCAUUAGUUACUGGUAUAAAAUAUAGACAGCAACGUCUAUAUUGAUCCCACUGGACACUUGAAGCCAAAUGAACAUUUGAAAGGUCAGUAAUUUUACUUGUGCCAAAUUGGAUGUUUGUCAUUUGUAUCAGACCGGAAGGCAAAUAUCUGAGUAAAUUCAUACGUAAAUUUGAUUACCCCAUAGCUCUAACAGCAAUCUUAUGUCAUCUGACAUGAAAAAUGAAGAGAAAGCACAUAAUCCCAUAUAGCAUGCUGAUCUAAGGGUUGCACAUAGCAUAGAAAUACAUUACAUGGCAAAUGCCUAUUUUUGCAAGCUUUAUAAUUCCACAAAAACAUGUCUUCCUCUGACAGCAAAUUUUAAGGUUCUGUUGGCUACUCAUUAAAUGAUUUUACAGAUGGAGAUAAACCCUAUUCUUUUAGUGCACUUCAGAAAUAUCUGUUGGGUCUUAGGCAGACUGUAAUUUAAAUGGAUUUAUUUUUAAUUGGUUUUAAUAUUUAAACAAAAAAUUGACUCAAUCAGUUUCCUAGUCAACUCUGAAGCGUGAUUUUAGCUUUAAGAAGAGAAAGGCAUAGAACUGUAUUUUUGCAAAAAGAAAAAAAUAUAUAUUUCCACUUAGUGUCUUCUAAAGACAUCACUUGAUACAUACAGCACGAGGCCUCAAGGCUCGAUCAAUCAAUGGCAGUUAUGCCACUAAAAUUAAUGGCUACAGGACGUGACUCAGGUGAGAUUUUCUUUUCCUGGAGUAUUUAAAAUUUAGAGAGUAGCCUGAGAGAUUUCUACAACACAGAUAUAAUGGUAAUAAAUAACAAUCACUAAAUGGAUCUGUCCAAUAUGGCAGAGGAAACAACGGUAAAAUAGUUCAAGCAGAUGUUAAGGCGGUAUCUCUCGUGAUGAAAUCAGCUGACAUCCUCAGAAUACACAUGAACGGUACAAAGGACAUGAACUGACAUCCUACCCUUCUGCAACCCCUCCGGGUUUAUAGCACUUCUGCAAAAUUUCUGGUGACUUCCAGCCCCAUUCUUCCACAACCCAGGUACCUGGAAGCUGCCCCGAUCCACUUUUAUUUCCACAGCCAUCAUCUCCUACACCACUCCUCUUUAGGAAGGUGGAAAAAAAAGAUUGAUGCAAAACUAUACACUGGCACCUAUUGGAAUCUGUGUGACAAACUGCACCCAUCCUUCAGGGAAACACAAAACAGACAGUGACUACCGCAUGGACCUUCCUUUGUCCGUGACACCUAGGAAAGGAAAGCGUUCAACACUGGCAGCCUAGGGGUUAGCAGGACACGAGAGCCCCCGGCAAUGCUUCCCUCCACUGCAAAAUUACAGCUAUGCUUCGCUGCCUUUCGCUGCACCCCAGGGUACAGGAAAACAAAAAGUCCAACAUCGCCUCUGCUCUUUUGUUGCUGUGAUUGUAAAGAUACCCAUGUUAUGGUCCACAGAUUUCUGGCUAGCGUGAAGAUCACACUCUGACAGGCCUACAAAGAAAGAGUAAAAGAUUUUUUUAGGCUUCCUCCAAUGCGAUUAAGUACAGGUUGCUAUCAAAGAAAGUCCAUUACGGUGAGAGUCUGCAGGGCUACCUCUGAACCCCUACCUACAAUUGAGCUCUGGUUAGCUAUCAUUAAUAUUUCAAUUUCAUCACUUGCUGCUAAUUUCGUUUGUUGGGCUACAUGACAUCAAAAGCAUAUAAACGAGGUGCUUUGACACCCUACAACCAUCCAGUACCACACUUUGCUGCUGCUGUUUGCUUUAUUUAGCUAUGCACACCUGGUUUCCCUGGAGCCCUCACUUCCACAAGAAGCAUGCACACGAGCCUUUUCUUUGCAGGCUCACUCGCUCUCUGACACCCAGUCUGACUGUCAGGCCCACCGUUUGAGCCAGGAAGCUUGUAACAUAUCAAUAGCGGCACAGAAAGUUUCCUCACAUAACAGAAGACAGAACAAGCCGUUUUUAAAAUCACAGCUUCUCACUAAUUUUAAAGACAAUAUAAUUUACAUCACUUGAGAUAUGCCAUGAAAUAAUCUGUUUUGCACGAUGUUCUUUUAACCAAUACACACCACUGACAUAACUAAAGUGCCCUUGGUCUGCCCAGAGAGGAAAGUUAACAGCGUGUGUUAUGUGCCUUGUAGUAAUCCUAGUGGAGCACGAAUGUUAGCUUAUUAAAGCAAAUCCCAUCUACUAAAUACCCACAAAGAACUCGAUAGCCCUGACCGACUGCUAUAGUGGUUUUAAUGCCUCAAAAUUCUAACACUGGUUUUUACAAACUGAAUAAUGUGAUAGCCCCACAGGAUAGCAGCUUAACCAGAAAAGCUCUGCGUUGCACAAAUGCAGCCUGAAGUGCAACUAAUUCUCGUGCAGUUUUCCUAAUUAUAUCAAACAAACGUGAUGUGACCCCGUAACUGCGGUCACGUUAAGGCGAGAGUGCGAACCGCUGUGACAGCGCACGUCCUGUGCCUCCCAGCUCCUCCUGUUCCAUUAGCAAGCCCCCGACCUCCCGCGGGACCCCAGCAGCAGCUCCGAGCAGCACAAAGCAGCAGGAGCAGCAUGGAGCAGGUGCUGCAGCUCGCUGCUGCCGUGGUGCACAGGGAGGGAGAGCCGUGGCUCUGCUCCCCACCUCUGAAUUGCCACGACUUGGAGGAGCCUCGCUCCUCUCGCAGGGCAGCUUUAGGAGCGGAUCCCGUGCUUAUCAGGGGUUAUACUGUUACAUAGUUAGACAACCGGUAAGGCUGGAAGAGACACGGCCUAAAGCGCUUCUGUGAUUAGACGCAAAGUCCAGCAUGCGGUACAUUUAAUGGAGGCACAGCAAAAUGAAAUACAUAAAUGUAAAUAAGUUGCCAUCCAGUCAUGCUGCAAUCACAGCACCGCCGUGCUCAGCUCAGACAGCAGUGUGACACAAUGGGAAAACACACACUCUGCACCGUAUCACUUGUGAAGAAUACUGCUUAGCAGUGACGUAACAGCAGCCAUCCUGAUGGAAAGCAUCACCUGUGACUGGCCAUUUGUGGUGACACGUUCUUGACCAUUUGUAUCGUGCUGUCUCCCAUCCCUCUCCUUUCUGCUUUCCACAUGUCCUGUCCCCGCAGCCCCUCAGGAGGGGCUCCCUAACACUCAGUGCUCACCACCCUGAGGACAAAGGCAUUCAGCUUUGCUUUGUUUCUUGCACUGCCACAGUUCUGUGCCAGGCAGGUCGUUAUAAGUGUCUUAAGGAACCUCUAAAAAGCUGUGUUUUCCAUACAGCCAUAACAGUCUCCAGUACUUACUGGGCAAGUCAUGACAUUCCCAAGUGCUCUCAUUCAAAUCAAAUGGAACCAUUGGCAUCCAAAGCCAACAGCACCUACAGGUGCAAUUACCUGUGCACAUGCCCUUAAAGUUGCAUUUUUAUGUAACCUCUCAAUGCAGACUACCUGCUCUGGUCCCCAGAAUGCAUUUUAAUGCCUUUCAGCACAAAACAAGACAAAGUGAGCACAAGCGUGAUGAAUCCUUCUGAUCCUCCAGCCAGCGUACUUGCCAAGGUAUUAAGCACAACUGCAUGAAUAUAAAACUGCAACGAGGCCGGAAUCAAAUGCUCAUUAAAAUCACACUGCUGACCUUUUAAAAUGACAAUAUAGGAGAGCUGUAGCGAAAAGAAACAGUGAGGGGACAAUAAUAUCAUGUUAGAGCUUUCUCAUCUGUGUUACAGUAAGCUAUGUGUCUCUUCUGCUAAAUAAACACAAGUUGAAAGAAUGUGAUGUUAGUCAGUAGAGGUAUAUAUAGUAAUAAUAUAAUAUUGCAAAAGGAAAUCCAUGUCUAAGACAUGGAAGAGUUGGUGCCUUCUAAAAUUCAGACCUUGCACAACAAUCUGUGCAGGAUUAAACACCACUUUAUAUGGCCCGAUCUGAGCACUGCCAGCCCGGGUGGCCCACUGGGCAUACACUGCCGGGUCCUGCAAGCAGCACAUCUCCUUUGGCUCCUCAGGCAGUGGGAGGAAAGGGAGAGGUGUACGUCCCCAUCAUGCAAGGCUAUGCCAUGCAGGGCUGUGCCACCACUACAGAGCUAACACAGCCAGCACUGCUCUGCCUGCUCCCAGAGACAUGGGCCGUUAUGCAGCCAGCUCAGGCACUGACAACGCAAAACAGUUUUCUACUUCUUUCUCCAAACUACAGACAGCCACUUGGGUUCUUAGGAAUUUGGUACUGAAAUGGUGAUUUGUGCUGGUAAGAGGUGUAAAUGGUAAGAGGUGUAAACACACCACGCAUAUGCGGAACCACAUUUAGAGAAACAGCUUCUUACACAGCCCUCGGCACUGGCAAGCCAAGCCAUUUCGUCUGUUAUAUUCCUAUUUCCGUGUGUCUCAGUGUGUCUGUAACAACACACAGAGCCCUCUGCCUUGGUGAAUUGUUAGCAACAUGUUAAAGAAACAUUCAUUUGGGUCUCCAAAGUCCUGGCAAACUUGGACCGAAUUCAGAGCAGGUGCCAAUUUAGGGCUGAAUAUAAACUAAUGAGACAUAAAAAUGUCCCUUUGGUCGUUCUUUUAUGAUGCAGCAGGGGGCCGUUUCUUCUCAGACAGCUCUUCCUAUUAAAUGUCCAUCAGUGAGAAAUUUGGAAUAUCCUCUGAGAGUGUUUCUUUGGGGAGACAGCUGAAACCUCCAAGCUGUGCAUCCCUUCAACACUCGUCUUAUCCCACAGUUCAUCUAACUUAGUUGUUCGGCCCCAUCUUUUCAGCUUUGGGCUUCAAAUUCUUUCCCACUCCCUGAGGCAUGCUAUAUACUUGUUUUUAAAAUCUUGGAGAAUACAAAAUAAUUUGUUCUCCUGCCCAGCGUCUACAGAGUUAUUUGGGAACAGCAGGAUUUCUUUAAGGCUCCUGAUUGAGUUUCUCAUUUAAGUGCAGAAAAGCAACUUCUAUUCUGCACCCCUCUCAGCAGAUUGUAGUAAAAGAGGAGAGGGAAAAAAACAAACAGCAAAGCUCUGACAGAUGGUACCCAGCGUUUGACUCAUGCUGGGCUCAGCAGGACCUAUAGUUUAGAAGGUUAGGACUGUCAAAAAGACUCUGCUUAUCAAGUGAGUAACAAAGUGUGGACUGCCAGGCUGUUUCCUAUAGAAAACUUGCAUUUUACAUGUAAUUCUCAGCUAUCUUUCUGAUGCUUCCGAAACUUCUGAGGAGCAGAUGCAUGCUUUUCUAUUUAAGAAGCAGUGGGAAGCUGCCCUGCUGGGAGCAGCCGGCAGCACGGCCGGCCGGGGGCUGCGGGGACCUCCGAGUAAACCAGGGAGCAAGGGCAGGACUCUUCUUCUUCAUUCUCCUUCUCUCGCAGUUCAUUCUCUCUUCAAUGCUUGCCCCAGUCUGAGGACUGCCUUAGCAAAGCGAUGUGGCAAAAUGCAAGCAAAGGCAGAAGGGUCAGAGCACGAGGCAGCGCUUACCAGGCUUUUCUUUUUAAGUCAUUUCCGAGCUCAUGCCAGUCAGCAUUUAUCGCAGCACAGAAGUGUCUGAUGUGACUACAAACAUUAGUGAGCAGACCUGAAGGCAAUCUGAAGUCUGGAGAAGUGCAAAUAAGAGGUUAACAGCUUGUACCCCUGUUCACUGGAAAGAAAAUAGCCUCCACCCUGCUAAUGAUCCCUCAGGGGAGGCACCAUCAAGAAGCAACACUUCUUGUAGCAGAGAAAAGCCACGGCUGCUGCUGUCCCAGCAUGCAACAUCAGCCCUGAGAGUUAUCUGCAGCCCACAGACAUCAACUAAUCUCAGCGGGUGAGGAACGAAGCCUCUCCCCAUGGGAACUCAGCUGAUUCAGGGAGGGAGGUGAGCAGCAAAGGAGGUUUCUGAAAACAAACCACUGAGCUUCCCAGAGCCCCAAUAAUGUCCAUGCACUCCCCAGAGGGGAUUUGCAGAAAGACAAGAAUAUGGCUGGACAGAAAGACACACAGUUGGAAACAUCCAUUGAAUGUGGCACUGGGAACAGGGAAGAAGGCAAAAAGGAGACAUUUAUUCUUUUUCCAUGAUUGUUUUAUUCUCUCAUUUCAAACCUCUGUCCCAAUUCAACUCCUGUCUAAUGUGCCUGCAGUGACAACCAGAAAAAAUGGCAUUAAUUGUAUUUAUCUCAAUUUACCUUCUUCUUGCUGCCAAGAGAGCAUCCAGUCAUUCUUGACCUGGAAAACCUUUGCCAUCUCAGAGGGAUAGCAGCAUUUCCAUUACUCUCCUACUCCCUAGUUCAGCCUUUCCCAGAGAACAGAGCACAAAUCCAAUGUUCCACCAGCUCUGCUACCAAAGAAAAACCACAUUCAUUUAUGACAAAAGCAUGGGUGAAAAUCAAAGUAGUAAGAAGGAGGAAACAUUUGAAAAGUCAUGAAAUACUAACAUGAUGAGUCUCCUACUCUGUUCUUGCUGCUUUUGAAAGGAUUAAAAUCGAUAUUGGUAUUUCCAAGGAAUUUCUAUGCACAAAAAACUUAAUCUGAGCCAGGCCUUCAUGCCAAUAAAAAUGAUUGUAAUGGUGUCAGAACAAAGAUCCAUCUAAUCCACCAGGUGGUAACUAAAAGAAGAUGCCAGAGCAAGGUAAGCACAGUGAUACUUUCCCAAAUGCUCUUCCAGGCUCCAACAAUUUGUGGCUCACGAACUCUCUGAGACAUAUGUUGUCAUGUAUUUAGUAUCCCUAACAAACUAUUUUUCCUGAGCUUGUCCUGCAUCCCCUUGAUCCUAGUUAUGCUCCAGUAUCCAUAAUAACUGAGGCAAGGAGCCAGUUUAACUACACACUGUUAGAAGAAUGACUUCUACCUCCACUCAGUAGAGCUUCCUUCAAGCUUUCCUUAGUACAAAAACCUAACAGCUGAGUAUGCAUGAAAAACACUGGCUGUUCCUAAAAAUCUGCUUGAAUUUUAUCAUAUUAUUCCACAAUUCCUGCUGGAAAUGGGAGAAAAAAAAAAACAAAGAAAAAAAAUAGGGAAAAGAAAACGUACAAAAAAACCAAACCAAAACAAAACUGAGCAACUAGGAAAGAAAAGAAAGUGACUACCUGCAAUGAAACAGGUCACUGUAUCAAAACAGAGAAUCUGCAAUUCCUACUUUAAGGACCCAAAGAAUUCUCCCAGACAAGUUUACACAUCUUUUGAAUAUCUGCCCAAGUAUCUCAGCAAGUAGAAAGAUGUUUAAAAUUACCAUUCCCUCUCUCUCUUGACGGCAUACUUGGAGAUGGUUAGAUGCCGUAUUUAUUCCAUCAGGCUCAUGAAAUAAGUCACACCCAAGAAAUGUGCUCCAGAGAUGCCCAUUUCAGACAGUAGAGUAUGACUAACAAGCACGGAGGUCUGUGGUCUUCCCAGUUUUGGUCAAUCCACCUCCCACUUGGACCAUAUCUCAGCACAGACAGGGAAGCCACACAAAGCUGUCCACCCUUUUGGAUGACUCUACAGUCCUGAUGGAGCAAGAGCUUGGGGCACACACUGCAGUGAGCCACCCACACACAUAGGUUUAUGCACAUUCUGAUGAUUCAUAAACCCAGAUCUAACAGCAGAAUUGAGCCUUUUGUUCAUUAAUUUGGAACGAAGCAGCAGCUAACAUUUUUUACAGAUGACUGUCAAGGCAAAAUCCUGGACUGAACAAUUCUGCUUAUCUAAAAUGAAUUUCAGCUACACCCUUUAAGGCAAAGCCAUCUCUAUUAAAAGAAAUAAAGAAAAUCCCUAAAUCAUAAUCCUGGAACAUUCAGCCAGAUUCUGUACUCUGUGCAGUCCAUUGUCUAAAUUUUGCAGGGAUCCUCUUUACAACAAAUAUUAUUACUGUGCUACAUAAUCCCUACCCAAGGUGGACUAGUUAAGGAUGGAUCUGUGUAGUCUUAACUGCAAAUUCUUCUGCUUUUGGGUGUUCUUGCUGAGUCUUUAAUAACAAAGCUUUGAAAUUUAAUUACUGUCUUAACAGUUGCAACUAUUAUACUUGAGAUAAAUGCAAGAUGAGUAACAAGCAUGUAAAGGGGGAAUUAACUUUAGUCAAAAAGGAAAUAUAUGAGUAAAUUUUUAUUCAUCAAUAGAUUUAACAAAAUUAACUUUAGUGUUAUAUAUGUCAAGUCCAAUUUUCAAACCACUGGAGAUCUUCCUUCUCACUCCUUCCAGCAAAUUCUAUUCAAUCACUAAUUAUGAAUGAGAGGAAGAGCUGCAAAUCAAAACCAGGAAGGUGAGCAGGCAGUGAGAAGAUGCACAACUGCCAGUUGACUUUACUGCAAGCAUAAUGUGGAAAACGUGCAGCACAGCCACUCAGAUGACUGCCCAUAACAUUCUGAAGAAUUACAUCAGAAGAGAAGAUGACCACACAAGAUUACACUGGCAGACAGCUGAACGAGUCUAAUGCACAAAGCUAGCAUGAGAGGGGCUACGGACAGACAAAAGGCUGCUCUGACACAAAGAUACAUUACCACAUUCCCUUAUUUACAGAAGAGGAAGGAUUAACAAACUGUGUUUCAGCAAUAGAGAGGAGGAAAGCAUUUCCAGACUUUUUUAUACGAUCAAUCAUUUUCUAUGACCUCCCCACAGCAUUGUUGCUCAUAUUUGCAAAAAAGAACACCAAAGAAGACACUGAAAAAGUAGAACCAGUUAGCAGUCUUCUAUCUUUACUGCUGUUUACUUGAUGACGUAGGCAAAGUUUUAGGCAAUAAUGUGCCUGUGAAAAUGGAUGGGGCCCUGGACAGCCUGACCUAGUGGGUGGCAACCAGCCCAUGGCAGGGAGUUGGAAGUAGAUGGGCUGUAAGGUCCCUUCCAACCCAAGCCAUUCUUAGUUGAUGGUUCUAUGCACAGUUGCCAAUGUAAAGUGUAAACAGAUCACAGCAUACACUGUAUAUAUUCAACAAUAUUUACAAAACUAUACAUUUAGAUGUCAGUUCUGCAAGUGAGUUGACUUUCUCAUGCACCCAUGUAUAUUCAUAAAGCAUUACUUGUCCACUGAGUACAAAAUACCAAACAAGACUACAGGAUUAAAUUUCUCUAGAAUAUUUAGUAAAAUAAAUUAAUUUUGAUAACAUAAGACAUUGCAAUGUUUUUUCUUAGGCACAGCAGGUGCUACAAGAUGGAGAGAGAGACACAUGACACUAUUUUGUGCUUUAAGUAGCAGGACUGGGAACAUUAUCCGUGUAAAAAAGAAAUAGUUACUGGGUCAAAAGCAUUGGCCUCUGAGAGCUUUCUUCAGAUAGAAAUAAUAUCCCAUUUGGACAAACUUUUCUUCCUCCUUCUAUAAGCUUCUUCUUUACUCUUCUGCUAUUUUCCAACAUAUUCUAACAGCUAUAUUAUUUCUGUAUGUAUCAAUUUAUACUAUUUAUGAACACCUAUGUAUAUCAUUACACACAUAAAAAUAGUGUUGAAAGAAUUUAGAAGUCCAGCCUCCAAAUGUCAGGAAAUGACAGGAUUCAACUUGCACAUUAUUACACACUUAAAAAACGAUAACAGCGACAACCAAAAAACCUCUUCAUGGUUUCUACACAUAUGAGCACAAAAGAUGUCGAGAAUAUAUAGGAUACCAUGAUCCAAAAUGUCUUUGUAAUACAAGGCAUGCUGGUCAUAAGAAGAUUUCGAGAUCUUUUUACUUCUUUUGCUAGAGAUUCUUCAAAUAUCAAAUAUAAUAUAACGGCAGUGUUGUUUCUUUCUAAAUGCAGUACUAAAACUGAUAGGGAACUUCUAAGCUUCUGUGUUCUGUAAGGCAGAACAUUAGCUUAAGAUUGUAAAAAAAAAAAAAUCACUGCAAAGUUCAGUUUUUACCCAAUUUACACUGAAUUUCUAAAACUAAGAAUCCCCCUCUUCAUCUUAAUACGUUUGUUCUCUCACCAAAGAAAAACUUUCUGACAGAAGCUAGAAACUUUCUGUCAUCUAAAAUUUUACGUACUAAGUUCACAGAAUUCAUAUUCUCAUCCAGUGGAACUAGACUUCCAUAUUUCCAAUCUUCCUUCAAACGAAGACAUUACAGAAAGGCUCCCAAGCUUGCCAGUUGUGACACGUAAGUUAUUACCUCUAUGAGUCACUAAUUUUAGGUUCCAUAGAAAGUUCAAGGUCACCUAAUUAUGUGAUUGAUUAUAUCUCAUCUUGGAAUUUUGAGGAUCUCCUCAAGAGUAGUAUCUCCUCUGAUAAAUCAACAGGAAGACAGUUUCAGACCAUUCUGCCCAGAGAACUCUAGGCUUACAGGCUCUUUUGAGAAACCAUCAGCACUGCAACUUCUCCAAGCCCUGUGAAUGCACUGCGCUGGCUGAGAUUGCAACCACCAAGAACUCUGCCAGUUUGUUGCCAAAGUCCUUUACGUAGAUUCACAAUUGCAACUUGUAAAUUGCAUGCAGAAACAGCUAAAGCUCUUGAAACUCAAAAACAUUUCUAGCUUGACCAGUGUGGCCAGCAGGGUUGUAAUUUCUGUGAAUCUAGUAUCUGGGGUUCUUGGAAUUUACCAGCUCUGUUGGCAAAACAGUCACAUCUUGUAAUUGCCAUGUGAACAGGAACGAGUUUCAAGGAACUUACAAGCUCCCCAGGACAGCUGGAGGAAACUGCAAAUGUAGUUCGACAGAUACCUAGUGUUCAUGGAAAUCUGCCAAGCCUUUUCGGAAAACAAAUCAUAGUUCAUGAUGGUUACAGUUUUUUCAGUGUUGGAACUACAGUGAGGUCCCCUGCAGAGGUUGUACUCCCUGCUGAAUGCCAGAAUAAGACUCUGUCUUUGCUGGAAAUCUAAGUUGCGUUCUUGGCUGUGUACCUAAAGAAGAACAGAAACUUCCCUGGAGAUCUCUGCAGAUUCUACCAUAUGCCUGAAAAAUACUGUAAAUGUUGAUCUAAUGCAAAUUGACUUCAACAGGUAAACUGUUGAAGAUGUAAUCUGUAUCAUUUAUCUCACAUCAAAUAAAACAGGCACCAGAGGAGCAAGCAAAGGUUGAACCCUCAUAGUUCUGGAAGGCUUGAUGAAAGGUUCGUCUCCACAUGAAGCAGAGCAGAAGACUGUGCAAAUAGAAGUGAAGAGGAUCAACGUAGCACUUGGAAAAUAAUUGUUUCAAUCGUGGAAAAUAAUCUAAGACAAAGCCAUCAGUUUUAACAGUUCCAUACAACAGAAAGUUCGAGUAUCAUCAUAUCCCAGUCUCAGAGAUGAUCUCUCUUCCCAAAAUGAGCUGAAGCAUAUAUCCAAAUCUAAAAUUCUUUAAUACAUUGACAAUUUUUGGAACAAGCUCUGGAUAUACAGCCCGGGGAGCUCUUCUGUACAUUGCAUGAUAUGAGAAUUGUGAAAGACCUUUUCCCCAGAGAACACGAUGCCUGUGGUCUGUUGUCUAAUAUUUCAUCUUUCCAUUUCUGGGCUGACAUUUGAACUGUAACUAUACAGUUCUUUUUAAAAUAUUUGCACAUUUUUGUUCUCCUUCCAGUAAACACAGCUUUUCAACCACUAUGAGCACUGGAUUCAAACACACCUCAUGCUGCCAUUUUACCACUAGAGGGCAGCUCAAUAUUUAUUGAUCGUUCUCAUUAGCUCAAAGAAUUAAUUUCACUGCAUUCCUAACCAAUGGGUCCACAACACAUAACUUUAGCUCGAGAGUCUUAUAAGAACCUUCAUUGUUUUAAGGAAAAACACGGUGGUUGCUAUUUGAAUCACUAGCUUAUCAUGUAGUGCCCUUUAAGAGGUAUGCAGUAUCCCUAUACACCAAUUUCCAAAGGAACUGUGCUCAGUUUUGGAAACAACCCUAUAUUUUGCCAGGGUUCCAUUUGUUUCAUUGGUGUAUUUCUUAUCUCGUAGGCUUAUGGUGUUUCUCUGCUGCUUGUAAGUCCAUAUGCUUUAAACAGCAACAACAGCAAUUUAUCAAAACCCGUGUUUUUAAAGGUCAGCAUUCUUUUAUUAUGCACAUUUACUUAAAACCACAAAUCUAUGUUAAGCAAUUUUCAACAGAAAAGAACUGUCUGAUUCAAGUUUCCUUAUUUUUUUCUUUUUUCUCUGCUAUCAAGUCCUCUGUAAUAUGUAUAAAUCUCCACCGGUGUCAGACCACACCCUCAAACCAACAUUUAGGACAUUUAAGAUUUGCCUAUUUGUAUGUUCUCCUCUUUAAACUCAUCCAUCCUGAGCCAACAAGUGAUCGCUGUCAAUCAGAUCACAGGAGCUCUCCCACUGACCUCAUACUCAGCUCCAUUCCUUGCUCGGGGUCGGCAGGCUCCACCACACCUCUACACACAGUUUAAGUCAAUGUCUGAUUUAAAUGGGGCUCUAACCACAGAUCUGCACAGACAGAAAGCAAAAGGAUCCUUCAGAUAAGCCCCACAGAAGUUUUCCCAUCCCAUCCUCUUCAAGUGACUCAACAGACAAUGUUACCACAUCUCUUGGUGCCCUUAACUGACAAGUUCCCUUAAUUUUGGUCCUUUAUUCUUCUGAAAGCAGCCAUGAGUUGUAUGGAUUACUGCGGUUUCAAAGCCAGCAACUAAUUGUGCCAUCAUACUCAAGCAAAGUGUGGAUUGAGUUUCCAGCCUCAUUCAGAGACCCAUCCCCUCCUCUUACCCCUUCCACAACACACUUCGCACUGCUGCACAGCAUUAGUGUAACAGAAAAAGAAUUUUUUUCUAAGAGUACCAUAUUAAAACAUUAUGCGAUUAUCUUUCUAAUAAUAAUGUGUUGAAAAAGUUCUUUUUCCUAUUAGAAGCCCUACAAGUUGAGCCCUACAACUGAGUACUUGAACUGGAUAUCUUCCAAUGAUGAACAGAAGUACAGACCAACAUGGAGGUUUAUUUUAAAAGACACCACAGGGGUCACUUGUAGAUUAGGC